ensembl:lncRNA LINC01094 long intergenic non-protein coding RNA 1094
GUGUAGGAUUGUGACUAGAAGAGAGAGGAAGGUCUGGAUGGAGCAACAAGAGUCUGGGCUAUUAACACAGGUUUGAGUCAGGCUGACCGGAGCUGUAAAGCCCUUCUCGUUCUCACUGUGUGUUCUUUUCAGUUCUGUCUUCCUGAGGCUGCUGUUUCUGGGCAUGGCCAGGGGAUCUUCAGACUUUACAAACCAGUUGUGCAGAGCCAGGCAUUUCAAUAAGGAACAAAAUGCUGAGUAACAACAUGAAGUCAGAGUGUUGCUUGCCAAGAGCUGGGAGGCCUGGGUGGUUUCCCAAUCUUAAAGAAGCAGAAGGAUAUUAAAGUGAGCCUCCCAAAGGAAAACGUGGAUCUACUUACCAACGCAGAAAAUGAUACACACGGAUUCGAUUUAGGCACGCUACAUUCAAAUGACUUGGAAGAGCAGGUUCUCUGAGCCAGGAUACUAAAGUCCCUGUUUAGGAAAGAGCCACGUUGUAUGUUUACCCUACCACAAAGAUACAGUCAUGUGCCUGGGAAAGAUUGAUGCCAGCUCCAGAAAGGCAUCCGAAUGGUCUAAGUAAUGCCAUCCAUCUGUCAGUAAUAGAUUCAGAAAUGGGUAUGUGAUUCAAGUCUGGCCAAUGAGAUGUAUGCAGAAGAGUGCUGGGUAUUCUGGAAAAUUAUCCCUUGUCAUUCAGAGAUCCACAGGAAUCCAGCCUUUUGCUCCUUGAAUGGGAUAAGGAAGCACAUAAUCCCAGUUGCUCUUCCAGUCAUCCCAGACCCACAGCCCUGCUUUAGCCAUCCUAUAGCCAUCAUAUAUUCACAAGGGGAGAGCAACUGAGGACAACACUGUGGAUCCUUGUGACAUAACCAAGCCAGUGAACCAAUCAAUACAUUUAUUUAUUGUUUGAGCCAUUGUAGUUGAGCUUACGUUACUGGCAGCUGAAAGCUGAAAGUUAUUCUAUCUGCCAAUCCUCAUCUUGCACGUCUCUUAGUUUUGCUCUUAUCUCUCCUUUUCCUCUUUUUCACACAUAAAUCCCAAUCUUUGUUCCAACUCACACUGUCAACACUCUGACCUUUCCCUCUUGCUUUCUUUUCCUCUUCUCUCUGUCCCUCUCCCUUUUGCCUUUCUUUCUGCCAGUGCUACCCACAGGUAUAUCUUAAAUCUUAUUAGCCAUAGCCAUGACCAAAGACUAGGACCACCACUAGGUAUAACUGGAUUAGGUGGAGUUUUGCUCAUUUGCCCUCCUUUGUACUUUCGACAUCAACAUCCCUCACCCCUCAGCAAUUCUCUCCACUGUGCCCCACUCCAUAUAACAAAAAGUCUUGUGUGCUCUGAAACAUCCACCCAAAAACUAUAUUUUCACUAAAAUUCCUUUGGUGAUAAUGCCUUAACAUGGUGGUUUCCAAAGCUUUUUAAAACCAUAACCCACAUUAAGUAUCCUCACUCAGUAUACACAGAAUAUACACAUAGGCACUUGAUAUAGUCUGGAUAUUUGUCCCUGCCCAACUCUUAUGUUGAAUUGUAAUCCCCAGUGCUAGAGGUGGGGCUUGGUGGGAGGGUGUUUGGAUCCCUCAUGGCUUGGUGCUGUCUUCACAAUAGUGAGUUCUCUAGACAUCUGGUCAUUUGAAAGUGUGUGGCACCUUCCCCCUCUCCUUGCUUCUGCUCUGACUAUGUGACAUGCCUGCUUUCCUGCUUUCCUUUUGCCUUCUGCCAUGAUCAUAAGCUUCCUGAGGACUUCCCAGAAGUCAAGCUGAUGCUAGCAUCAUUGCUUCCUGCAAAGCCUGCAGAGCUGUGAACCUCUUUUCUUUAUGAAUUAUCCAGUCUCAGGUAUUUCUUUAUAAUGUGAAAGGAAAAUAAACCUUGGGGCCCCCAAAUCACUAAGCUAAAUGGAAAAGUCAAGCUGGGAACUGCUUAGAGCAAACCUGCCUCCCAUUCUAUUCAAAGUCAUCCCUCUGCUCACUGAGAUAGAUGUAUAUCUGAUUGCCUCCUUUGGAAAGGCUAAUCAGAAACUCAAAAGAAUGAAACCAUUCAUUUGUCUCUCGCCUAUCUGUGACCUGGAAGCCCCCUCUCUGCUUCGGCUUCAAGGCUUCCUGCCUUUGCUUCAAGUUGUCGCGCCUUUCCAGACCCAACCAAUGUACUUCUUACAUAUACUGAUUGAUGCUUCAUGUCUCCCUAAAAUGUAUAAAACUCAGCUGUGCCCCAGCCACCUUGGCCACAUGUCAUCAGGACUCCCUGAGGCUGUGCCGCAGGCUCAUCUUCAACCUUGGCAAAAUAAACUUUCUAAAUUAACUGAGACCUGUCUCAGAUUUUCGGGGUUUAGAGUAGCAAUGCAAGAAGGGACUAACACAACACUGCAGGAAAAGUUCUAUGAAACACACUUACCUUUACUACCAGUGACACAUUCUGAUAUUACAUAUUCUGUUCUAUUUCAUUUUUAAAAAGUGUUUGUCUGUACUCACUAAAUUGAUGUCAUGGAUAGUUGUUGUGACCACCAAAAACACUUCCUUCACCCACAGCAGAAAUUCUGGUGGUCGUGUGAUAAACUUGUCAAAAAGUCCUUUGAGGGUAAUUAGACUCA